GUAAGCAAAACAAGAAAAUACUCAGUUUCCAAAAAAUUUUUGCAUCUAUAAUAACAUCUAUUCCUUAUACAUAUCCAACGCAUUACACAAAAGAGAAAUUGUAACCCCCACAGUUUGGAUGAGGAAACGAGUUAAGUGAUUUAGCCAAGGUCAAUUACCUUAUUUUUUUUCAGUAGCUUCUCCAUUUCCUAGUCUUCCAUGAUCAGUGUUCAGAAAAGAACUUUGAGUCUGCUUUCCCUUUUGAUUAUUAUUUCCCUACUAUGGACAACAAUAACACCUAUAGUUUACUAAGCAGGCACUGUGUAAGCACUUUGCAUAUAUUCAAUUUUUCAUUUAAUCCUCACAACAACUCAGGGAGGUAGAUACAUCCCCCUUUAUAUAUAUGUGAGGAAAUAGCUCCCAGGACUCAAGUGACCUGCUCAGGUCACUCAGCUACUAAGCAGAAGGCCUAGGACCAGCCCCUGACUCUAAAUCUAGUGCCAUUAGCACUUAUCAUAACACGUCAUAUCUGUCAGCAUUUUACUAAGCACACCUACAUUCAUUAGGAAGUGGGAUGGGCACCCACCAGCAACUUCCUCUGCAGAGGUCUGGAGAUGACAAGAGCCAGGGAAAGGAGGAGGUGGUGAUAGGAGGUGACAAGGUACAGGCAAAGGUGAAGAUGAGUAACCUUCUCCCAACUGCUCCAUCUCAGGUUGCAGAAGAGUUGCUCAUGGCCACCUGUACUCCAAGGGGUCUUAUUUCAAAGAAAGUAUGGGGGGAAGUAAGCUUUUAUUUAAGAGGUUGCAGCAAUUAUUU
rnacentral:lncRNA from 1 species